AUACGGAGGAUCCGAGCGUUAUCCGGAUUUAUUGGGUUUAAAGGGUGCGCAGGCGGCCAUUUAAGUCAGCGGUUAAAUCGUGGGGCUCAACCCCAUUCUGCCGUUGAUACUGGGUGGCUUGAUUGCGGUCGAGGUUGGCGGAAUUCGUUGUGUAGCGGUGAAAUGCAUAGAUAUGACGAAGAACACCGAUUGCGUAGGCAGCUGACCAGAUCGCAAAUGACGCUCAUGCACGAAAGUGCGGGGAUCGAACAGGAUUAGAUACCCUGGUAGUCCGCACAGUAAACGAUGAAUACUUGUUUUCGGCGAUAUAAUGUCGGAGGCAAAGCGAAAGCGAUAAGUAUUCCACCUGGGGAGUACGCCGGCAACGGUGAAACUCAAAUGAAUCGACGGGG
rnacentral:rRNA from 1 species